rnacentral:lncRNA from 1 species
UUGGAAGAUCCGGCGAAAUCGCCGAAAAGAAAAGGGAAGAAGGGGCCAGCUUGCUGUAUUUCGCCGGAGAAAGAGGAGGAUAUGGGCCGCCUCAACGUCACGGCGCUGCUGCUCUCGAGGUGAGCCGUGUGGCGGCGCCUCGCGCUAGAAACAUUACCUCGCUCGCAACCUCCUCAGCGCGGCGAUGGUUGGGGUGGAGACGUCGUCGGAGUAG